GCGGGAAUAGCUCAGUUGGUAGAGCAUCGGCUUCCCAAGCCGAGGGUCGCGGGUUCGAGUCCCGUUUCCCGCUCCA
rnacentral:tRNA from 4 species